rnacentral:rRNA from 1 species
UACAGAGGUCCCGAGCGUUGUUCGGAUUUACUGGGCGUAAAGGGCGCGUAGGCGGCCUGUGCAAGUCAGUUGUGAAAUCUCCGAGCUUAACUCGGAACGGUCAACUGAUACUGCUCGGCUAGAGUGCGGAAGGGGCAACUGGAAUUCUUGGUGUAGCGGUGAAAUGCGUAGAUAUCUGGAGGAAUACCGGUGGCGAAGGCGGCAUCCUGGACCGGCAUUGACGCUGAUGAGCGAAAGCUAGGGGAGCAAACGGG